AAUUCUUUCACUUCUGAUAUAACCUCAAACUCGAGGCAGUGAAAUAAAUGCCAGACAAAACAGAAACUGUUACCCAGCCACCAAUAAUGAAAACCUGCAUGGCUGGUGCAGUACAGGUGGGUGGAGUUGUUGGCAAAAGCUCAACUUCACUGGGCAGUGAGAGGUUACAGUGGUGUAACCAGCCUUAUGGUGAAUAAGUUUAGCAAUGAAAUAAAUCUGUUCUUUAGCCAUAAAAUCAUUGUGCAACAAGAACUACAAAAAAUACCCUCCAAAGCCUCAGGGCUGAAAGCACGAUUUGGGUGAAACAGAGAAUUUAUACAGAUGUGGAAGUGUAGUCGGAAUUUGUCCCUCAGGGAAAUAAGGGCUCCACAGUUCUGCCCCGUUCAGUGAUCCCUAGAACGGAAAUUGCUGACAACAAGGUCUAAAUACUAAGCCUUGGAUCUGCUUUGGGACAGCAUUUUCAGUGAAAGCGCCGACUCAGCCUGCACGAGCAGUGAGAUUCCGCCAAUAACUGCUGAAAUCCCUGAGAGCUAUAUUAAGUGGUGGGACCUCAAGACAUUGCAGAGGUUGCAGUAGAGAGGCUGGUGGCAGCAGAAAAAGUGACGGCACAAGCAGCCACUGGCAGCGGAGUGAAUGAUUGCACGGCAACAGGCAGCGACGCAGAGUAAACGGCGUGGCAGCAGCAUCUGAGGCAUUGCUUGAUGCCUUGCUCCCCUUCCCCACUCCUUCUGCUCCUCAAUGGGAAGUGAACACACAUGAAUGCACUUCUGAAUUCUGGGUCUUGGCUGACCAAGGACAGCAAGUGUGAGUGGGGUGCAGUGGAGGAGCAGGGAGUGGCAUGUUAAAGGAACAUUUGUUUGUCAGACUUUCACACCACAAGGAUGCCUUUGUAGCUUUCCAUAUUAAUAAAACCCUGGUGAGAAAGUCCAUGAACAUGCUGCUGACUGGGGAGCUGGCACCUGGUCAACCCAGCUUUGAGCCCUGCAAAAAUUUCCAGGGCUGGUGGUUCCAGCAUGAUUUGGGGCACCUUUCAGUCAUCACCAAGUCCAAAUGGAACCACUUGUGUCAUGAGUUUAUGAUGUGCAAGCUAAAGGGUCCUGGACGGUAUUGUAGUUCUCUGGGUAUCGCACAGAAACCACAUCCCAAUGAACAUUGAUUACGAUAAGAACGCUGACUGGUUCUCUGCCCAGGUAAGAUCCUCUCCCCUCCUAGGUGUGCUGGAAGGCACUUAUAGAUGCUUAAAGAGUUAAUAGUGUAAAUAUCAUUACUCCUGGCAAUAGCACUGAGGAUCUGUGUCACUUUAAGGAUAUUGUUAAUGAAGCCUAGAUUAGCCUGGAAGGGCGGGAGUGGGGCACUUUUCAUCCUGCUGUUCAAAGAGAUAUAAAAUGUAUAAUUUAUGGAUCCACACUUUCUCCUUUCUUUCUUCCUCUCUCAGCUCCAGGCAACAUACAAUGUGAACCAGUCUUUAUUCAAUGACUGGUUCACUGGGCUCUUGAACUUCCAGAUUGAGCACCAGUGAGUACAGGUCCUGGGAAGAAGGGUGGGAACUCUCAUGGGGCACCAGUGAGUGCAAGCAUUGCAGAGGGACAGGGGACCCACCUAAGAGUGAGGGUAAUUAAACACUGGAACCGCUUACUCGGGGAGAUGUUGAGCUCACCAGCACUCAGGAGUCUUUAAAACAAAAUUAGGUAUCUUUCUAAAAGACACUUUAAUCCAGUUUCUGGGGAAAAUUCAACAGCUUGGAAGUCACACUAGUUGAUUGUAGUAAUGUAGGGCUGGAAGGAGCCUCGAGAGGUCGUGAGAUCCAGGCCCCUGCACUGAGGCAGGACCAAGUAAACCGAGCCCAUCCCUGAUAGGUGUUUGUCCAACCUGUUCUUAAAAACCUCCAGUGAUGGGAAUUCCACAACCUCCCUUGGAAGCCUAUUGCAGAACUUAACUAUCCUGAUAGUUAGAAAGUUUUCCCUAAUAUCUAACCUAAAUCUCCCUUGCCGCAGAUAAGAACAUAAGAACGGCCAUACUGGGUCAGACCAAAGGUCCAUUUAUUAGCCCAGUAUCCUGUCUUCCAACAGUGGCCAAUGCCAGGUGCCCCAGAGGGAAUGAACAGAAGAGGUCACAGUGGUGCCUUCUGGCCUUGGAGUCUCUGAAUCUAGACGUGAGUAAUAGGAUCCACAGGAGAGAAGGCAGCGGGAUUGUUCCUGUCUUUUCCCCAUGAUGCCUCGACACAACUACUGGAGUCCCUGGUGAAGUCUCUGUGUGCCAAGCAUGGUAUCGAGUGCCAAUGCAAGCCCUUGCUCACUGCCUUAGCUGAUGUUGUAUAGUAAGUAAGAAUUGGUGCAGUAGCAAGCGGCAUAGUAAAGAUGCAUGGUGAGAAAGAGGGAAGCAGGCUGGAGAAACAGAAAUGGAGGACAGGGAUGUAAGAGAAGACCAGAGGAGUGCAUUUCGGAGGACUGUGUCACUCCACACCUCAUACAUACUGAAACACAAGAGAGGUGACCUGGAUUUGACUACUUGACAUCUGAAAGGUUUUAAAAAAGGGUUUGGGUUUGCACUGAGGUUUCAGCAAGUUCUUCCUCAUAACUAGUUCCCCUCUCCUGAUUCAGAGCUGAGUUUUAUACUCUGGCUGUCAACUUGGCCAGCUGAAGUUCCCCUAUGCUAGACAUUUCCCAUGUGGGGUAGAGCUGGUUCAGGUAGAAGGAUUGCCCCACUGCAGGCAGUGCCUUGGCUGUAUAACCUAGUAGAGUGUCCACAGCCAGAGAACCACUGUGCUUUUGAUGCAUCAAGAUGCCACACUGGCCCUUAAAGCCGUGAGUACUCAAGUGCAAAUUAGGAUAGUCCUGAGGCCUCUCUAAUUUGUGGUGGGGCUGAAGAGACUCUCCACUGGCAUAAAACCACCUCCACUCCAGCUUCAAUCCUGGCAAGGGCCAGAUUAUGAUCUUCUGAGGCCCUAAACUAUGUUGAGUGUAAGAGGCCCCGUACCAUAAAAAAAAUGAAUUUAUUAUUUUCACAGAAAGGACAUUGAAUAUAUAAACAUGAAAGCUUUAUAUUUGGAUAUAUACAAAGGUGUAGUUGUAAACAUAGAAUAAUAAUCUUCAUUUUCAGCAGCCCUCUCUGUAAUGAUGACAUGACAAAAUAAAUUGUAGACAAAUUCUUUGAACUAAUUGCGUAUGUAAGUAAAGUAGAAGUAAACAAUACAAUAUAAAAAAUACAAAAUAAAAAAAUAUAGUAAAUAAUACAAUUUACUAGAAGAGUUCUCAGGAAAUUUUUCUUCUCUGUUGGGGCAUCUAAAUUGUGGAAUUCCUUUUCUGAAUGCGCUAUGAGACUCUUAGAGGAUAUAAGAGGACACUAGAAGAUACAAGAGGCAAUAGAGGAUAUAGGCUGCAUAUAACCCACAAGCUUAAAGCUCAACUAUUAGUUAUAUUGAUAUGAAUUACACCUAGGUAAUAAGCAAACCAUCGGAAAAUUGUAUGCGGAAUGUAUUUUUCCAAUAAAUUGAUUUGUUUUUUCAUAGACAGUUAUGCUGAAUUACCUAAUAUUGGUACUAAAAUUUGAAACCAAUAAAAAAUUAAUUUUAUAUUAUAAAUAUUGAGAUUUAUAUAUCUACACAACAACAAUAUAGAUGUGUGUGUGCGUGUGUGUGUGUGCGCGCCAAAAACCUUUGUUGUUUCACCAGGAUAUUUCUGUGAAAGUUACUGCUAUUUGUCUAUGUUCUCACAGGAAAACAAGAGAGGAUAUAUAAUUUUUUUACACCAUGAAUAAGGAAAAUUAUCCUUCUUUUCAUAUGAAUAAAUGAAAAAAAGUUUGAUUAAUUUUAUUAAGGAAAUACAAAGUUUAUCCACAGUAGAUAUAAAAUAUAUUGACAAAUGUUUAUUCCGAUUUAAUUUUUGCCACAAAACAAUGAGUUGUUGGGAUUUUUCUUUUGCCAUACUAUAAAAAUGCAAUAUAUUAUGCAUAUGAUAUGUGAUUUAUAAGACUAUAUAAGAAUUUUUACAUCACAUACUACCUAUAAUAAAAUAUUAUCUUGCACACUCCAAACCUGCCAAGCAGAAAAUCUCAGUCUUUUUUCUUGGCAGACAUCUCUUUUCGUGUUUGCUUCUCUGUCCUCUGUCUCCCCAAAGACCACUAAUUAAUCUCAUGUAAACACCUUGGACACACAGUGUGACAACAAGCUAUAUGCACGAAAGAGAAGGAAAGAAUUUACCAGAAAAAAGACUGGUAAUCUCUAGACAGGCAUUGAGAAAGUGAGAAAAACAAGUCUAUAUUCAAGCAAAGAUAAUGAAUUUUAUAGGCUUUAAUAGCUUAUAAAUCAUAUAUGCACAUAGUUUGAAAUAACUUGCUCACCAAGUACUCAGAAUAUUUUGAUAUAUAUAUAUAUCUUCUUUCACUUCUCUCAAAACCCUCUAUCUAUCCUUUCGUCAGCACUCUGACAUUUACUUUGAAGGUUCCCAAAACUGAUGGCGGGAAGCCAACACAAAUUUAUCCUCCUCAAGAUCCACUCGACCCAAGUCCAUAAGACGGUCACCUGCACACUCAAUCAUGUGAAGCAUGGGUAACACAUGAAGCAGAAAGUGACGUGCACACUAAAAUACACAAUUGUCCAUAUGUACAGACCCAAAGAAGAAAGAACCCACGAACCUACAAGUAGGAGCGUGGCAGGGCGGCUUCACGACACUGCCCUUUCCGACCUCACAUUUUCCCUGAUUUUAUCAGCAGUGAGAAUAUUAAUUUUUUUAUUUAUUUAAAUAAGUUAUGAAGGCACGGUCAGAAUUUUAGCAGGAACAGCUGGCCACAAAACGCUGCCUUGGGAGACUGAUAGCAGACUUACUUGUAGAAAUAAUAAUUUUACAAGUGCAAUUAUCGUUUUUUUCUCAGCCCUGGCCUCCCGCCUGUCAAUGAUAAACAAUUAGUGAAGGGUAAGGAUAGGGUGUGGGUAUUUGUGUAGCCAGAUGUGUAUAUUUUUAUAAUAUUUGAAUGAAAAUGUCUAUAUAGAGAGAGAAUAUUCUUUUUCCCAAAUCUCCUUUAUUUAUCAACCGAUUUUGAUAAAAUUUUAAAUGGAGUCAGUUUUGGGUUUUUUUAGAGGCCCCUCAUAUUGUGAGGCCCUAAACUGUAGCUCAGUUAGCUUAUACCUUAAUCUGGCACUGGCCCUGCCCCAGUCAACACUCAGCCCAACCCAAGGAUCGUCCUUAAUACUUGUAUUCAAAUAGGUCCAAAUCCUAAGAGCCGCUGAGCACUAUAUUUUACUCUCAAUAGGUCCUUCGUCAUUCUCUCACCAUGCACACAUCCUCUGUCAUAAUACAAGAACCAGGGGACAUUCAAUGACACUGAAAAACAACAAAUUUAAACUGAUCGAAGGGGAAGUAUUUUUGUCAAACACAGAAAUCACCUGUGGAACUCAUUACUAGCAAAUAUUGAGGCCAAAAACAUGUAAGGAUUAAAAAAAAAAAAGAAUGUUCUCCUUUGAGUGAUUGAGCACAUAGACAUUCCACUGUAGGUGUAUAUGGACCCAAUGCACUCAAGUCAGAGUCUUUCAGCCACAUCUGCAGGCAGCACAUGCGCCCCCACUGUCUUCAUGCACCAAGCCAAGGAUAAAAAGGGGCAAGGUUGCUGCCUCUGUCUCAGGUCCUUCUGACCACCAUGGGAAAGAGCUGGAGCUCACUGGCGCUCUUUGAGUUUUGGUUAAUCAGCGUUCAGGAAUUCUUGUAUUGUCUGUAGUUGUUGCUUAAUUUAGUGUAGUUAGUAAUGUAGUGGUUUAUCUGGUGUUUGUGACAUACUGUACCUCAGGGGAGCGCCCUAUAGCCCCCAUAUUCAUCAUUUGUAUAUAAUUAUGACAUUGCAUUGUGACAUUGUGAACUCACCCCACACUGGACCGGGAAGGGUUAACUCCUCACUGUGGGUAGAGGAAGCCACGCCCCCACAUCCCUACCAGGCCUGCUCCAAGUGUAGCAGCAGUAUAAGAGGGAACCCAGAGACCCCGAAGACGCACACAUCACAGAUGGGAGUGACAAGGUAGGAAGUAGCCCCGGGGGGACGACAAGUCAGCGUGUUGUGGAUGGAUCCCCACUGACCCAGUGGUGGACUCACUUGCCACUGCAAGGGCCCUGGGUUGGGACCUGGUGGAGCAGGGAGGGCCUGGGUCCCCCUACCUGGCUGCCACCCCCCCCUCCCGGGUGGCAACCCACACACACACCCCCGCUAGGCCCUACAGCCCCUCCCAGAGGGCCAUCCUAUUGACUCUGGCCUCUAGGCCAUACAGCCAUGCCCAGAAUGUGACCCUGUUGGCUCUGGAUGCAAGGCCAUACAGCCGUGUCCGGAGGGCGACUAUAUUGACUCUGACUGCUAGGCCAUACAGCCACGCCUGGAGGGGUAUCUCCAUUGACUCGGGCUGCUAGACCUGGCUGCUGGUGAACUCAGUGGAUCAUUAAUGAUUCUGGCCACUAGAGCUUACUGCCCUGUAGACCCAGGGUAUCUCUAUUGACUUUGCCCAUUGGGCCUUACUGCCUUGCAAACCCUGGGGUACCCCUAUGGAUUCUUGACACUAGUCCUUACUGCCUGCCAGAGAAGGGCUACCCCCCAGAUGUGGGUCACAUUACCCUAUUGCCCUGUGAAACAAGGCGAUUCUAUAGACUCCGGCCAUUGGGCCUUAAAGCCCUGCAGAUCAGGGCAGCUCUACAGACUCCUGCCCUUAGGUCUCAUGGCCUGGAGACCAAGGGUAGCUUGAAGGAUGGCGUGAACUCACUGCACUGGACGUGGUCUCUCCCACCCCGUCAUAUGCAUAUAAAGCAUGCCUUGUAAGGUAUCAUGGGAAAGGUUAUGAUCCUUUGAAACCCACUGUUCCGACUAAAUAUGUGUAUCUUUAAUUAAUAUGAAGUUAUGAGAAUUGUGUUGUAUGGUUGUCACCAAAAUAUGUUGUGGGUUUGGGAAGUGCCGAUAUUAUCUCCCCCAAAGACAAUAGCAAGGGAGGUAACCAAUGCCCGGGCAGAUGCCAAACAGACAUCACCAGCCAUUGUCCAGCAGAGGAGUUUCAAUUCAAUGACUCACUCACAGGAGACACACCAGGGGUAUUGCUUCACCCUGUGACUCAGCAAUGCCCACCAGACAUGCCUGGUCGACUUAUGUUUUCCAAGCACAGGGACUAAGGGUAUAAAACACAACACAGUGGCCCCAGGCUUUGCCUUUUCUCCUCCCCUACCUACACUGCAAGCAACAAGACUGCUCAGAAGACUGGAGACUCCAACAGAGAAGACUGACCCAGGUUUCAAGGGUGAAACCUGCGUACUAUGAACUGCAAUAUCCAGUGGGAUGAGAAAACUGCUUGGUCUAAAUAAUGCCUAGUGUCUUACAGGUUUAAGAUUUAGAUUGUGCACUUGUUUUGUUUUCUUUGGUAACUAUCUCUGACUUUUUGCAAAUGACUUAUAAUAACUUAAAAUCUAUCUUUUGUAACCAGUAAACUUGUUUUACUGUUUAUCUGUACCAGUGAGUUUGCCUGAACUGUUUGGUAAAUCUGCUCAGGUCACAAAGGCUGAUGCAUGUCCACUUUCCAUUGAUGAAGUGGUGAACCAGUUAAUAAACAUGCAUUGCCCAAAAAGAAGGUCUUGAGCAGUGCAAGACGGUAUAUUCCUAGGGUACCAGGCUGGGAGCUGUGGAGGUUUGGCUGGUGCCUUUCUCUGUGUGAUUCGUGAAUGACUCUGGGAGCAUUCACGCAAUCUUGCUGGGUGUGGGGUUCCACAUGCAGUUGUACUGAGUGGUAACAGCACCUGGAGGGGUUUGCUGCUUGCCACUAGUAAGUCAUUGUGAAAGACAAUCCAGAAUAGUGAGUAAAAGGGGCACAGCGGUUCCACAGUCCCAGGCUGCACCCUGGGGGGAUCCCAGUGGUGCAAUGAGCUGGGUAAAUACACAGCUUGUACUGAGCGACAUUUGCACUUCAUACACUGGUGUAGGGAUUUUAAGUGAGAUUCAGGUGUGGUGGCUAAGGACAGUCAAGAGGAGGCUACCAGUUUGUAAUUUUCUGUUUGCUUAUUUCAGGAAAGGGAAGUAGGGACAGAAAAGCAGGAAAAUGAGUGAAAGCAGUGAAGCCAUUGAGAAGCUGGAGCUGUUUAGACUGCAGGUUGCAGAAUAAGAGAGGGAGCACCAGAGAGUAUUGGAGCUAAAGGAGCUCAAGAUAAAAGAGAAAGAGAGAACCUGAGAACCAGAAACAAGCACAUCUAAGGGCCCCAGAACUAAGAGCUAGAGAAUCUGAGGAGAAAGAAAGAGAUAGAAAACACCAACUGGACCUGCUAGAGAAGCAGGACCAGAACCCAUCGACCCCAACGAUUCCCACCACUCCAAAAAUCCACAAUUGGGACCAUUUAUGUCCUGCAUACAAUGAAGUAGAUGAUAUUUCUGAAUAUUUGACUACCUUUGAAAGGCUGUGUGCAGUGCAUGAAAUCCCUUACGCCAAGAGAGUUCCUACCUUGAUUGUGAAAUUAACUGGUAAAGCUCUAAAUGUAUUCAAUGAACUGCCCAUUAAGGAUGCUUUAGGCUGUUAUAAAUUCAAAAACACUGUUUUGCAAAGGUUUCAGAUUAUCCCUGAAACAUACAGAGUUAAAUUUAGGAAUCUUAAGAGGGAUAUUGGCAUGUGUAAUGGGGAAUAUGGGGGGGGGGGGAGAUUUGAUGGGAAAAUGGGUGAGGGGCAAAGGUGUUACAAGCUUUGAGGGAAUGUUUGAUCUUGUUGCUCAAGGGCAUUUCCUAGGCAUAUGUUAAGUGUCUAUGGGACAAAAAUGUAAAGUCUGUGGAUGAGAUGGCAUCUUUGAACAGACAUGGGCAUCUAUUGAAAGCAAACCACCAAAAGAGGGGUUUAAACCUGAGGGGAAGGGAGGGUCCCGUUUUAUCCCUAGCAAGAAGGAGAGGGUUUGGGAGUCUGGAUGUAGUAGUAGGAUUUUGUUUGUAUUUUGUACAAUUUAGAAUGAAGGAUAACGAAUAAUGAGAUAAUAAUGUAACAUGUAUUAAUGAAUGACUUGACCAUAUCCUGCCAGCCACCCUUUUUGAAUAGCAGAAAGGAGUGGCCUAAUGCACUACUGCUAGAGAUGCAUCAGCCAGAAUUUCUUUGUGUCUGGACUGAUUUCAAGGCAGUAACAGACCUUUGAGGGUCACCACUUUGUUGUAGGUUUAGCAUUUUAAAAUAAGUAAAAGAAUACCAUGAUUGUUUUCUUUUGCAUUGCAACUUGAUGUUCCUGUUCAAAAUGUUCUGUGUAAAUUAAUUCUGUUUUGUGUGUGAAUGAGGAAUGUGUGUUAUAAGAGAUAAGUGUGAAGGCCAUUCUAGGGAGGAACCGGAGACAGACGCAAGGGCGCCAGGAGGCUGUAACACUCCCCGAUUGAAAUAUCACAGGAGUGCAGAUUGAUGACUGUAAAGAUGAGACAGGCAACUAUCAGUUGGGACAAGAUAGCUGUGAUCAAAACCAGCAUCGGAUAACUCCCUGAGGAACUUGAUGAAAGAACAAGAUAAAGGGUGAGAAGGACAAUUUAAGAAAACAAGCACUCAUCAAACAACAAUUGAUUACAGCAUGACGGUGCAAAACUCAUUGGUCCCAAUGAAGGAAAAUCACUAUAAGAACAGGGUGCCUUGCCAUGAAACUUUGGGUUCGUCCUGCCAAGACUUGCCUGGAGCAUCAUGUUGCGACUGACAGAACCCGGCUCCUUCCUACCUGUGAUCAACCUAGCUGGCCACUAGAUUGAUCCAGACUCUGGACUGGUAACUAUAACAUUGACGGGCAGGACUUUGUGUGUGUGGUGUGAUUGAAUGCAUAUGCUAAUUGUUGUAUCUUCAAUAAACACUGUGUAUUG